rnacentral:snRNA from 1 species
UAACUUAACCUGGCAGGGAGAUACAUGAUCAAGAAGGUGGUUUCAUCCCAGGGUGAAGGCUCGUCCAUUGCAGACUUCCGGAUGUGCUGGACCCUGCGAAUUCCCCAAAUGUGGGAAUCUCGAAUGCAUAAUUUCUGGUAGUUGGGGGACUUGCGUUCGCGCUCUCCCGAU